UCUGCGAUGCACCCAUUAUCACUAAUGGCGUUGCUAGCAGCGCAGAGAUCCAAUUCCAGAGCAGCGCCGCCUACUCAUGCAAUAAGGGCUUUGGACUUAUCGGUCAUGCCACGCCAAGCUGCUUGGCUAGUGGACAGCUCACUUCUGUGCCUCAUUGCGAUGUCCUCAAUUGCACGGUUCCUGCAAUCCAGUUUGGUGUGAGCAGUGCCCCGCUGGUCCAACGUGGUGCCACGGUUCGCUACUCGUGCAAUCAGGGCUACAUCAUACUGGGAAAGUCUACAGUUACGUGCCGGGAUGACUUUACUUUGAGUACAAUCCCGUACUGCCACCUUGCUACACCCACCAACUAUCGCAAGUGCAACUCUGCCACAUUCGUACUAUCCCACCGUCCAUUGAACUACGCCUUCGCACAGGAUUUCUGCAAAGUGUACAAUGGGAAGAUCAUCUCGGACGCUUCCUUCAAGGCUGGAUGCGCAAUACGCCUCGCAACACAACGUGCCGUAGC